rnacentral:rRNA from 1 species
UACGGAGGGUGCAAGCGUUAUCCGGAUUUACUGGGUUUAAAGGGUGUGUAGGCGGGCUGUUAAGUCAGUGGUGAAAUCUCAAGGCUCAACCUUGAAACUGCCAUUGAUACUAUCAGUCUUGAAUCUUGUUGAGGUAGGCGGAAUAUGUCAUGUAGCGGUGAAAUGCUUAGAUAUGACAUAGAACACCGAUUGCGAAGGCAGCUUACUAAACAAGCAUUGACGCUGAGGCACGAAAGCGUGGGGAUCAAACAGG